AUACCUUUCUCGGCCUUUUGGCUAAGAUCAAGUGUAGUAUCUGUUCUUAUCAGUUUAAUAUCUGAUAUAUGGACCAUUGGUUCAUACAAUAUUAAAUUAAUUUUUUUUGAGAGAGGGUCAACUGCAUUGGCUUGCUACUGAGGCUCUCAAGCAUUGCUCUUGUUUUGCACUAGUGCAAGAGAAUGGUGCAUCUCAC
rnacentral:snRNA from 1 species